AAGAGUUUUUUGUGUCUCUAUCUCCUUCAGUUCAUUGGCCAUGGAAGUCAGAAUCUGCUAAGAAGUGUGUAACAACUCACCUGCUGGAUCAACUAGCCCUGAAAAUGGAUGACACUGGA
rnacentral:ncRNA from 1 species